CUCUGUCCAUGCUGCCACAGCACUUAAGUAAGUUUGUUUGUUGAAUUAUUCCACUUUUUCCUUUGUUUACCAAAUAAGUGCAUCCUUUUAAUUAUGUUUGUCACUUUCACUUAAGUAGAAGUUUGUUUGACCACUGAAACCACAAAGAAGAUCUAGAGACUUAGAAUUGUUUGUCUACUUUAAAGGACACAUAUGAGAAGCUGAAGCAAUUCCUCACUCCUUGUGUAACAUAUUGGAUGCAUAAAUUAAUAAAAUCAUCCAUCCAUCCACCUAU